rnacentral:rRNA from 1 species
CAGCAGCCACGGGAAUACAGAGGGUGCAAGCGUUAAUCGGAAUUACUGGGCGUAAAGCGCGCGUAGGUGGUUUGUUAAGUUGGAUGUGAAAUCCCCGGGCUCAACCUGGGAUCUGCAUCCAAAACUGGCAAGCUAGAGUAUGGUAGAGGGUGGUGGAAUUUCCUGUGUAGCGGUGAAAUGCGUAGAUAUAGGAAGGAACACCAGUGGCGAAGGCGACCACCUGGACUGAUACUGACACUGAGGUGCGAAAGCGUGGGGAGCAAACAGGAUUAGAUACCCCUGUAGUCCCUGUCUCUUAUAC